rnacentral:rRNA from 1 species
CAGUCGAGGGGCAGCAUGACUGUAGCAAUACAGUUGAUGGCGACCGGCAAACGGGUGCGGAACACGUACGCAAUCUACCCAUAACUGAUGAAUAGCCCUCCGAAAGGAGGAUUAAUACAUCGUAACUUAAUGAAGUGGCAUCACUUUAUUAAUAUAGCUCCGGCGGUUUUGGAUGAGCGUGCGGCUGAUUAGGUAGUUGGUUGAGGUAACGGCUCACCAAGCCUUCGAUCAGUAACUGGUGUGAGAGCACGACCAGUCACACGGGCACUGAGACACGGGCCCGACUCCUACGGGAGGCAGCAGUAAGGAAUAUUGGUCAAUGGACGCAAGUCUGAACCAGCCAUGCCGCGUGAAGGAUGAAGGUCCUCUGGAUUGUAAACUUCUUUUAUAGGGGACGAAAUCUAUUUUUCUAAGUAGUCUGACGGUACCCUAGGAAUAAGCACCGGCUAACUCCGUGCCAGCAGCCGCGGUAAUACGGAGGGUGCAAGCGUUAUCCGGAUUCACUGGGUUUAAAGGGUGCGUAGGAGGGCAGGUAAGUCAGUGGUGAAAUCUCCGAGCUUAACUUGGAAACUGCCAUUGAUACUAUCUGUCUUGAAUAUUGUGGAGGUGAGCGGAAUAUGUCAUGUAGCGGUGAAAUGCUUAGAUAUGACAUAGAACACCAAUUGCGAAGGCAGCUCGCUACACAUAUAUUGACUCUGAGGCACGAAAGCGUGGGGAUCAAACAGGAUUAGAUACCCUGGUAGUCCACGCCCUAAACUAUGGAUACUCGACAUACGCGAUAAACUGUGUGUGUCUGAGCGAAAGCAUUAAGUAUCCCACCUGGGAAGUACGACCGCAAGGUUGAAACUCAAAGGAAUUGGCGGGGGUCCGCACAAGCGGUGGAGCAUGUGGUUUAAUUCGAUGAUA